AAACCGUCGUUAGGGCUCCUUUCCCCCGGGUGCCGGAUUCCGGCCGCCGGCCGCACUCCAGCUCGGAAAGGGCUUGAAUAGUGCACUUCCGGUCAGCUCCCCGGUGCUGUCUGGGAGAUGUAGUUCGGUGGAGAACCAGGCCGGAAGUGCUCCCGUGGCCGGCGCGGGGCGGGGCGGAGCAGCGAUGGCGGCGCUGCGGCCAGCGGAGGAGCUGGGGCUGCGGGCGGGCGACACGGAGGAGGAGGAGGGCACGCCCCCGGGGCGCGGAGAGGAGCAGCCGCUGAACCUGGGGGACCUGGACCUCACCUCGGACGAGUUCAUCCUGGACGAAGUGGACAUUCACAUCCAAGCCAACCUUGAGGACGCCCUGGUGCAGGAGGCGCUGAAGACGGGCGUGGACCUCCGGCAGUACUCCAAGCAGGUGGAGCUGGAACUGCAGCAGAAUGAGCAUGCCUCCAUCCGGGACUACAUCAAAGAGAGCAAGAACAUUGCCUCCCUGCACAACCAGAUCACUGCCUGUGACACCAUCUUGGAGCGCAUGGAGCAAAUGCUGAGCACCUUCCAGUGCGACCUGAGUAGCAUCAGCUCGGAGAUCCAGACAUUGCAGGAGCAGUCAGUGGCCAUGAACCUGCGCCUCAAGAACCGCCAGGCUGUGCGCAGCCAGCUCAGCCAGCUGGUCGAUGAGCUUGUUGUGCCCGCCAACAUGAUCAGUACCAUCCUGGAGGCGCCGGUAACGGAGCAGGAGUUCCUAGAGCAGCUGCACGAGCUCAACAACAAGAUUAACUACGUGAAGGAGCAGGCCUUCCGUGAGACAAUGGCCUGUGCCGAUGUGCAGCACGUGUUGGAGAAGCUCAAGGUCAAGGCAGUGACCAAGAUCCGGGAGUUCAUCCUGCAGAAGAUCUACUCCUUCCGCAAGCCCAUGACCAACUACCAGAUUCCCCAGAAUGCUCUGCUCAAGUACAGGUUCUUCUACCAGUUCUUGCUAGGGAACGAGCGGGCGGUGGCACAGGAGUUGCGGGAGCAGUACGUGGAGACCAUGAGCAAGAUCUAUCUGUCCUACUUCAAGUCCUACACCAGCCGCCUCAUGAAGAUCCAGUAUGAAGAGGUGGCUGACAAAGAUGACCUGAUGGGCGUGGAGGACACGGCGAAAAAGGGCUUCUUCUCCAAGCCAUCGCUGAAGAAUCGCAACACCAUCUUCACACUGGGCAAUCGGGGCAGUGUCAUCGGGGCGGCCGAGCUGGAGGGGCCCAUCAUCGUGCCACACACGGCCCAGAAGAGUGAUGUCCGUUACCCCUUCGAGUCGCUGUUCCGCAGCCAGCACUACGCUCUGCUGGACAACAGCUGCCGCGAGUACCUCUUCCUCUGCGACUUCUUCAUGGUGACGGGGCCCAGCGCCCAAGACCUCUUCAACACUGUCAUGGGCAAGACCCUUGCCAUGUUCCUGAAACACAUGGAUGCCUACGUGUGCGACUGCUAUGACAGCAUCGCUGUCUUCCUGUGCAUCCACAUCGUCCUGCGCUUCAAGGCCAUCAUGGCCAAGCGCAACAUCCCGGCUGUUGACAAGUACUGGGACACGCUGCUGGAGAUCCUGUGGCCGCGCUUUGAGUACAUCCUGGAGCUGAACAUCCAGAGCAUCCAGAACAUGGACCCCCAGAAGCUGGGCUUCCUUGACACACGCCCCCUCUAUAUCACGCGGCGCUACGCAGAGUUCUCCUCUGCCAUCGUCAGCAUCAACCAGACCUUCCCCAAUGAGCGGACCCACGCCCUGCUGGGGCAGCUGCAGGUGGAGGUGGAGAACUUCGUGCUGCGGGUGGCGGCAGAGUUCUCGUCACGCAAGGAGCAGCUUAUCUUCCUCAUCAACAACUAUGACAUGAUGCUGAGUGUCCUUAUGGAGCGGGCAGUGGAGGAAAGCAAGGAGGUAGAGGGCUUUCAGCAGCUACUCUCAGCCCGGACUCAGGAGUUCAUCGAGGAGAUCCUGUCACCCCCUUUUGGCGGGAUGAUCGCCUUCGUCAAGGAGUCAGAAGCUCUCAUCGAGAAGGGGCAGCUGGACCGGCUCCGCGGGGAGGAGGCCCGUGUAACCCAGCUGGUGCGGGGCUUCGCUAGCACGUGGAAGACCUCUGUGGAGUCUCUGAGCCAGGACGUCAUGAGAUCUUUCAGCAACUUCAAGAACGGCACUAGCAUUAUUCAGGGGGCACUCACGCAGCUGAUCCAGUACUACCACCGCUUCCACAAGGUGCUGUCACAGCCUCCCCUGCGUGCCCUGCCUGCCCGUGCCGACCUCAUCAACAUCCACCACCUCAUGGUUGAGCUGAAGAAACACAAGCCCAACUUCUAGGGCCCCUGCCCAACGCAGCACAUGGAGGGUAGAGCAGCUGUUCCCAGCACAGAAUGGUCCAGCCCUUUCUUAUUGGCAAACCACCCCAUGUAGCAUCACCCAUGAAUCUCAUGGAGGACACGUUUCAUCCCAGUACCAAGGCCACCAAUGAAAGUGUUAAUCAGGAUAUGGUCCUAUGAUGGAUCCCCAAGGAACACCAGCUCUCCAGGCUGACAGAAUCAGAAAAACAGGACUGACAGGGAUCACAGGUAGCCCAAGGCAGGAACAGCCCUGUCUACACUAUCCCAGCUGAGGGACUGUCUAACCUGUUGUUAAAAACCUCCCACGAUGGACACUGUGCAACCUAAUACAUCUGUGCCAACACUGAGCCACCCUUGGAGUCAGGUCUUCCCUAAUACCCAGCCUAGAUCACCCUUGUUGCCAGUUCAAACCAUUACUUCCUGGGUCCAUAGAGAACACCUCCAUGCUCUUUGUUUGCAAAUAUCUAGUUGGUCUAAUAAAAAAGAUAUAAUUUCUUC